GCAAGUCGAACGAGAAAGCACCUUCGGGUGUGAGUAGAGUGGCGCACGGGUGAGUAAUACAUGGGAACGUACCUUUGGGGUGGGGGAUAACCAUCGGAAACGGUGGCUAAUACCGCGUAAUGUCGCAAGACCAAAAGUGGCCUCUACUUGUAAGCUACUGCCCUAAGAUCGGCCCAUGUCCCAUUAGCUUGUUGGCGGGGUAAAGGCCCACCAAGGCUACGAUGGGUAGCUGGUCUGAGAGGAUGAUC
rnacentral:rRNA from 1 species